CCUACGGGUGGCAGCAGUGAGGAAUAUUGGUCAAUGGACGAGAGUCUGAACCAGCCAAGUCGCGUGAAGGAUGACUGCCCUAUGGGUUGUAAACUUCUUUUAUAGGGGAGUAAAUUGUUCCACGUGUGUGCUUUUGUAUUUACCAUAUGAAUAAGGAUCGGCUAACUCCGUGCCAGCAGCCGCGGUAAUACGGAGGAUCCGAGCGUUAUCCGGAUUUAUUGGGUUUAAAGGGAGCGUAGGGGGAUUGUUAAGUCAGUUGUGAAAGUUUGCGGCUCAACCGGAAAAGUGCAGUGGAUACUGGGAGUCUUGAGUACAGUAGAGGAGGGCGGAAUUCGUGGUGUAGCGGUGAAAUGCGUAGAUAUAACGAAGAACUCCGAUGGCGAAGGCAGCUCACUGGACUGUAACUGACACUGAGGCUCGAAAGUGUGGGUAGCAAACAGGAUUAGAUACCCUUGUAGUC
rnacentral:rRNA from 1 species